GCGCGCUCUGCGCUCUGCUCUCCCAACCUCCAUUCCGGGUUACAUCUGGCGGACAGUCUUGGUACCUGGGACUGAAGCAUCAGGAGGCGACUGUGGCAGCAGAGGGCUACAGCUAUGCAGCUCCUUCCUCCCUCCAGAUACAGCCCAAGACAAGCCUUCAGCCCUGUGUGCUCGGGAGAUACCAUUCUGGGGUCUGUGUAGUAAGGAUGUGCAGUGGAGGAGAGUCAGGGUUACCAGCUCAGCUUUCUAGGCCCCAGACUCCCAGUGGCACCGAGCCAGCUGCCCCCCAGUUCCCCUCAUCCCAGCCAUGGAGAAAGGAUGGGCCAGGCCAACCAUGAGAGAUUUAUUUUACCUAACAUAAUGUCCUCCAGUUCUAUCCAUGAUGUUACCAAUGACAGGAUUUCAUUCCUUUUUAUGACUUGAUAUGACCUAAGUCUCUACUGAUAGCCUCAUGGACAUCCAUGCACAGAGAAAAGCUUCAGAAAAACAUCAUGACCUCAGGAGUAGGGCUCUGCAGAUUCCUUUGGUGACAAAAUAGAAUCAUCUGGCUGCUGAUCUUGGACCAGCACGUGCUGAGGUUUGAAAAUCCUACCAGUCUUCUGUUGGGAUGACCUCCUGUUCUGGGCAUUCUGAAAGGUGCAGAGGAUCCAGCAAGUACCCCUGAGGAAGCCCUCACAGAGAGUGCUCCAUAAAGGGAAGAGUCAGGAUGCUGGAAUAAAACGGACAGCUGCUGGUGAAAUCAGCGAUCAGACUGAGGGAAUAUGAAUCUUCUUGUUUCGCCACUAAUCACAGACUUAAAGACAGCAGAUUCAUGAUGUAUUGUUUACCUAUUUCCAGUUGACAAAGUGUCUAUCUUCUGUUGAAGUGUGAAUGGAAUAUUUCAUUUUAAGGAACCGCAGUUCUCUCUGAUCGUAGAAUGGAAUACGCCAAUUGAAUUUAGUACAGACUAAUUGCAUUUUGUCCAUCUUGAGCUGAACUGUAAAUAAAACAUCACUAAAUCUUACUGGAUGGAUGCAACAGGAUUUUGUUUUUCACUCAAGACAACAUGUAUCCAGGGUUAGUGUGGGUACUAUGCCCAUUCAUAAUUUCUCUGCCCUUCAUAAAUCAUGUGGUUUACUCUGUUAUUUUUCCCUUGGAAGGGACACAUGCUGCUUUUCACAUCUCAUUGGAAAGCAAGUCACAUAGUCACGCUGACAAAAAGAAUGUAAGAAACAAUAGUACUAUGAAUUGGGCAGAAAGAAAAUAUUCAGUGGGCAGGCCUAAUCAUUAUUUUGGUUGUAUUUUUCUGUACUCCUAGUUAAUGUCCUCUGUGUGACUCAUGAAGUAUCACCAGUGCUGUCUUCUCUUCUGAGAUUCUAAGUUAGAGGUCCACAAACUUUGACCUCUGGGUCAAAUGAGCCUUGCUGUCUGUUUUCACAUGGUCUUUGGUUAAGAACAGUUUUUAUAUUUUUUUAAAUGGCUGGCAAAAAAGAAAAAAAAUACUGUAUAAUAUAUGAAAAUUAUGUGAAAUUCAAAUGUGUGCCCAUAAAAAAAGUUUUGUUGAAACACA